UGGGGAAUAUUAGGCAAUGGGGGAAACCCUGACCUAGCAACGCCGCGUGAAGGAAGAAGGCUUUCGGGUUGUAAACUUCUUUUACCAGGGACGAAGAACGUGACGGUACCUGGAGAAAAAGCUCCGGCUAACUACGUGCCAGCAGCCGCGGUAAUACGUAGGGAGCAAGCGUUGUCCGGAUUUACUGGGUGUAAAGGGCGUGUAGGCGGAGCAGCAAGUCAGAAGUGAAAUCUCCGGGCUUAACCCGGAAACUGCUUUUGAAACUGUUGCCCUUGAGUAUCGGAGAGGCAGGCGGAAUUCCUUGUGUAGCGGUGAAAUGCGUAGAUAUAAGGAAGAACACCAGUGGCGAAGGCGGCCUGCUGGACGACAACUGACGCUGAGGCGCGAAAGCGUGGGGAGCAAACAGGAUUAGAUACCCUGGUAGU
rnacentral:rRNA from 1 species